UCUCCGUUGGUGAACCAGCGGAGGGAUCAUUACAGGACUCGCAAUACUCCUACAACCCUGUGAACUUAACUAUAAGCACGUUGCUUCGGCGGGUGUCUCGGAGGGGGUUCUCCCUCCCCGAGACGCUAAACCCGCCGGCAGCCUACUAUACUCUGUCUCUCUGCGUUGGUUUACCGAGUACAAUCAAACAACUUAAAACUUUCAACAACGGAUCUUAUGGUUCUGGGCUCGAUGAAGAACGCAGCAGAUCGGAAGAACACACGUAUUACUUCCAGUCAC
rnacentral:misc_RNA from 1 species